UAGGAGCUAGCCGUCGAAGGUGGGACAAAUGAUUGGGGUGAAGUCGUAACAAGGUAGCCGUAUCGGAAGGUGCGGCUGGAUCACCUCCUUU
rnacentral:rRNA from 1 species